rnacentral:rRNA from 1 species
ACGGAAGGCAGCAGUGGGGGAUAUUGCACAAUGGGGGAAACCCUGAUGCAGCAAUGCCGCGUGAGGGAAGACGGUCUUCGGAUUGUAAACCUAAGUUGUCAGGGACGAACACAUGACGGUACCUGAAGAGAAAGCUCCGGCUAACUACGUGCCAGCAGCCGCGGUAAUACGUAGGGAGCGAGCGUUGUCCGGAUUUACUGGGUGUAAAGGGUGCGUAGGCGGGUCUGCAAGUCAGACGUGAAAUACCGAGGCUUAACCUCGGAGCUGCGUUUGAAACUGUAGAUCUUGAGUGAAGUAGAGGUAAGCGGAAUUCCUAGUGUAGCGGUGAAAUGCGUAGAUAUUAGGAGGAACACCAGUGGCGAAGGCGGCUUACUGGACGAUAACUGACGUUGAGGCUCGAAAGCGUGGGGAGCAAACAGGAUUAGAUACCCUGGUA